GACAGAGGGUGCAAGCGUUGUUCGGAAUCAUUGGGCGUAAAGCGCGCGUAGGCGGCUUUGCAAGUCGGAUGUGAAAGCCCCGGGCUCAACCCGGGAAGUGCAUCCGAAACUGCAUGGCUUGAGUCCCAGAGAGGGUGGUGGAAUUCCGAGUGUAGAGGUGAAAUUCGUAGAUAUUCGGAGGAACACCAGUGGCGAAGGCGACCACCUGGAUGGAGACUGACGCUGAGGUGCGAAAGCGUGGGGAGCAAACAGG
rnacentral:rRNA from 1 species